AAAUUCAAAAAGAAGCAAGUGAACAAGUAAAUGAUGUUAAGAAGCAAAUGGAUGAGAAACUUGUAGAGAUGAAUAGAAUAUGAGAGUAGAAAUUCAAGAUGCUUUUGGAGAAAAACAAUAAUAUUGCAUCACCUAUGGAGGAUUCCCAAGAUGAUGAAAUUGGAGGAUGAUUUGCAGUAUAUUUGAAGUUUUGGAUUUUGAAGCAGCCAGCAGCCUUAUAAUACUACUUUUA